rnacentral:rRNA from 1 species
AAUGAACGCUGGCGGUAGGCCUAACACAUGCAAGUCGAACGGCAGCACAGUAAGAGCUUGCUCUUACGGGUGGCGAGUGGCGGACGGGUGAGGAAUACAUCGGAAUCUACUUUUUCGUGGGGGAUAACGUAGGGAAACUUACGCUAAUACCGCAUACGACCUACGGGUGAAAGCAGGGGAUCUUCGGACCUUGCGCGAUUGAAUGAGCCGAUGUCGGAUUAGCUAGUUGGCGGGGUAAAGGCCCACCAAGGCGACGAUCCGUAGCUGGUCUGAGAGGAUGAUCAGCCACACUGGAACUGAGACACGGUCCAGACUCCUACGGGAGGCAGCAGUGGGGAAUAUUGGACAAUGGGCGCAAGCCUGAUCCAGCCAUACCGCGUGGGUGAAGAAGGCCUUCGGGUUGAAAAGCCCUUUUGUUGGGAAAGAAAAGCAGCAGGUUAAUACCCCGCUGUUCUGACGGUACCCAAAGAAUAAGCACCGGCUAACUUCGUG